rnacentral:rRNA from 1 species
UGGAAACGACUGCUAAUACCCCAUAAGCCGAGAGGUAAAAGGAGCGAUCCGGCAGAGGAGGUACUCGCGUCCUAUCAGCUAGUAGGUGAGGUAACGGCUCACCUAGGCGAAGACGGGUAGCCGGCCUGAGAGGGCGAACGGCCACACUGGAACUGAGAUACGGUCCAGACUCCUACGGGAGGCAGCAGUGGGGAAUUUUGGGCAAUGGGGGCAACCCUGACCCAGCGACGCCGCGUGGGUGAAGAAAUCCCUCGGGAUGUAAAGCCCUGUUGUAUGGGAAGAGCAGAAGACGGUACCAUACGAGGAAGCCCCGGCAAACUACGUGCCAGCAGCCGCGGUAAUACGUAGGGGGCAAGCGUUGUCCGGAAUUACUGGGCGUAAAGCGCACGCAGGCUGAAUUAUAAGUCGGUAGUCAAAUACGGAGGCUCAACUUCCGGAUAUCUAUCGAUACUGU